AAAGAAGAGGUAACCUGAUACUAGAAGUAGCUCCCCUGGCUGUAGUUUGCAGGUCCAUGGUUGAUCCUAAAUGGGAAGAAUGCUGAAGACAUCCAUUGGUGCUUUAUUCACGUUCUUUUAUCUGCAGCUGGACUGGGUCAGCGGUGGUGACAAUGUGGAGCAGAGUCCUCCCACCCUGAGUGUCCAGGAGGGAAACAGCUGUGCCAUGAACUGUUCUUAUUCAAACAGUGCCUUAGACUACUUUCUUUGGUAUAAGCAAGAAGCUGGAAAAGGUCCCCAGUUUAUUAUAAACAUUCGUUCACAUCAGGUCAAAACCGAAGAUGGAAGAUUUACUGUUUUAUUGAAUAAGACGGUCAAACAGUUCUCCCUGCACAUUGAGGCCACCCAACCUGGAGACUCAGCUGCCUACUUCUGCGCAGCGAGUACACAUUGCUUCUCAGGUGCCUGCAACCUGCACGCAAACCUGCCAGUGGAGCCACCGCUCUCCUUCGACUAUCUUCAAUCAUAGAUAGUAUUUGUCAUAUUUUAUCUGAAAAUGGAAACCAAUGUGUUGGAUGUUAAAAACACAUAAGUAAGUAAAGUUCGAUAUGACCCAGAAAGGGUUAGAACAUUUUGUUGGCUGACAGUUAGUUGAUUUUUGAUGGGAGUUUGUUAUAUUUUAUUUUGAAAUUUAGGCUUUAAAGUUGACUUUACAUUUGUUAGUUAGACUCUAGACCUGUUACUGAAACCUUAGCAUCAAUAACACAGUGCUUAUUAGGAAUGAGCUC